GGCCCCGUCGUCUAGCGGCCCAGGACACUGCCCUCUCAAGGCAGAGACGUGGGUUCAAAUCCCAUCGGGGCUA
rnacentral:tRNA from 1 species